ensembl:miRNA
CUCAAAUCCUUGGAAUCUAGGUGUGAGUGCUGCUUCAGUGCAACACACCUAUUCAAGGAUUCAAA